rnacentral:lncRNA from 1 species
AUGUCCCUUUUCUACUCAAAAACGUCAAGGUCGGCCAGCACACAAGGACCGAGAAGAAGAAGAAAGGAGAUGGCACAGUCUGGCAAUUGGAUGCAUCAGUGGUUCUCCCAAACACAGAGGAUGCUUUCUGUAGCCCAGGCUAGGCCAGAAUCACAGAAUAACAGGACCCGAGGGAGUUUGGGUUGGAAGGAGGCAUUAAGUGCAAGCUCUCUCUUCUCCAGCCACAGUCUCCCCUGGCUGUCCUCACCUGAGACCAAACCCCGACGACCUUCUGCACGGAGGUCCCACGGUCUUGACCAGGGACUGCCUCCCUGGCCACAACUUUAGAGAAGCCCAACUCCACUUCACUUUGCUCCCUCCUCACAGCCUCCCCAGCGGCAUGCCCAUGACUCUUCCGCAAGACCACCCUUCGUCCCCCUCCCCUGUCCCCUCGUGGACUUGAUCAUAUCCACCCUGCCCUUGUCCCUGGUUGCGUGUAUCCAUUUACUGGCUCCCCAUUCAGGCACAGUUCCUGACACACAAUGGUUACUUAAUGAAUAACAAUUGACUGGCUAAUUCAGGGGUGGGGAGCCUGCAGCUCAAAGGCCACGUGUGGCCCGCUAGGUCCUUAAGUGUGGCCCUUUGGGGCCACACAUGGCCUCAAGACCACAAGUCCCCACCCGUGGACGAGCUGGACUGAAGUGCCUGGUCCUGCCUGCAUUUGCCCCUGUAUUCUGUCUCCAAUCAAAGUGGAAGCUUCCUAAGGGAAAGGCUGUCCUUGCUUUGUAUUUAUUUUCCUGUGCUUUGCACAUUCAUAAAUGCUUUUCUUCUAAACGCAUUCGUUCAUUCAAUGAAGAGAGCCUAUUGAAGAUAACGCUGGCCACUGGUUAGCCAGUCAAUGAUGACACACUUUUAGUCCUGGGGAGAUCAUUACUGCAGGAGGCCCAGCUUUCCUCUUAGCUCUGGUCAGUAUGAAGUUCCUCCUCAAUCUGAGCUGAAAUCGGCCUCCUGUGUUCUCAGGCCAUCGGCUGUCCUCCUGUAGAGGAUCCUGUGUCUGGAGACCCCUCUCAAGCACAGCUCUAGGCCACCCGGGCUUCCUUUGGGGAUCAUUCUCCCAGGCACUCUGCAUGACUGAAAAUAAUAAUAAUUAAUAAUAAUAAUAAUAAAUGUUCCCCCUUUUGAUGGUGA